UUAGGAUCUUUAUGAAUACGGGCCCUGAAGGGUAUUUAAUAGGUCUUCCCCCACGUAAGAUUUUCCUAGUUACUAGUUGUUUAUUUAUAUUAAAUUUACAUCUACAAUCCAUAAUGAGUCUUAAUAUAUUAUUUGCUCAAGCACAUGCAUUAAGUUUGCCACAAAGCACAGGCAGAAGUAGCUUAAUAAUUGUGAAAAUGGAGACAUUUUAAUUAUUUAUUAAUAAACAAUUUUUUUCUUGUCAGCUGCAAGAGGAAAUUCCCAGUGCUGACUCUCUCCACGUGGACGCGCCUUUAGAGAGAAAUGCAACCUUCACAAUUACAUUAUGCUUAAUUUUGAUUUGAAACACUUGAAUAUAAAUAAUAAUUCACAUUUUGCAUAUGCAUUACAAAGUAAACAUUUUUUUUUACAUGCAAUUAUCCAAAAUUUAUAAAUAAUAAUAAUAAAUAAGUAGACAAAUAAGAAUAAAUGCUGUGAGUCGCACUCAGCAUCAGGCACACAGCAAGGAAUAUGAUAAACACCUGCAUUUAAGGCACGAAAGCCGCUGAAUUAUUAUUUUUUUACUUAAAUUAUAUGAAAGCAAGUAAAGAAGGCUCCCUUUAAAAUCACAGAAGCUGUCAAGUAAUUAAGCUUUUUUUUUUACUGUGUGCAUUUUGCUGAUUAUAAUAAGAGAACUUAAGUUUAAAUGUGAGGACAUUUUAUUAAUCAGUCCAUUCUUUAGAGUUUCAAGGAUUUAGUUAAACUGUGCAGUUUAAUUUGUACAUUUCUUGUUUUAAUUAGGCCAAAAUAAUGAGAGCGAAAAUACAGUGCCUCAAGUUUGACUAAAAUAAAGGAAAUCAUUUAUAAAACACGCAACAAUUUCUUAAUCAGUGUACCGACAAAUAUCUUUUUCCCCAAAAAUUACUGAAAUAGACUACAACUUUUAAUGCUCUGAUGCCACAAUUUAUUUAGAAUAAUAUUCAUAGUAUAUAAAUAAUACUGCACACCUAGUAAGGGUGUCAAAUCUAAAAUAUGGUGUUAUACUGUGUACCUUAGAGAAAAUAUAAGCACAGACUCGUUGGCUUGACAUGUAUCCUGCUUGAAUUCUUUCUCAUACAUUAAUAAGCAAUAAACUUUCAUCUGAAUAUUUUAACAUAUUUACAUAUUUUAACAACAGUGUUUUUGGUUCAUUUUCCCCGACUGCAGCAGUCAAAUGUAACACAUUGGUGACGUCUAUCCCGCUCCUGCUCCACUCCACGCUCACUGAUAUCAGAAACACCGCUCCAUAACUGAAGUAUUUCAUUAUGUUUAAAAUAGCACAGUUCUGUUCAUAACAUAUAUUAAAAAAUAAAAUAGGAGGAGAGUUUCAAAGUGGUUUAUCAGAAAAGUAGUUUGCCCUCAUCUUUGCUGUAGUAGAGAGAGACGUUUUUGAGAGCAGUCAGUUAAUCAUUUAUUAUGGACUUGGGCUAAUUGUAGUGUUCCAGUAAUCCAUGUUAUAACUGGGUAUUUCCCAGAAUUCGGGCCUAUUUCUGUCCACAGGGUGUAAUUUUAUUAAAAACUAAUUAAAUCUAAUACAUUUUAGCACCACUUAUUAGUAUAAACAAAAACAAGCCUAGACUUUUUUUAUGGCUGGUCUUACUAAUGAUUUUAACUCAUUUUAUUGGUGUUUGGUUUUGUGGUAUAUUAUCUGUGUUGUCCGCCACCAGAGUUUUCGAAUGGCAUACCAUAUGUCAAACAAGAUGACAAAUUAAUAAAUAAAAAAUAUGCAUAUGAAUUAAAUGUUACCUAAUAAAACUAUUAAACUACAUACACAGAUUAAGCAUAUAUAUGCAUUUUGUACUUUAUUUUGGUUAAUUUCUACCUGUCACAUGUUUUAGACGUCAUUACCAACAUACUCUGCAUAAGGGACUUUCCAUGCCAUGGUAACCUAAUUUCACAGUGGAGCACAUGGAUUUCAAGCUGCAAGACUGAUGCCUUGAUGUCCAGAAAAGUGUGACAUGGCUCCAAAUGCAGUUGCCCAGAGGUCCAAAUCUUACAGAAAACAUUUGAAAGAUGAUCCUGAGAAAUAUGCACAGUAUCUGCAGAGUGAGAAAGAGAGAUAUCAUAGAAGAACAGAAACAGGAAAAUUUUAAUCUUGUUUCCCAAUUGAGCGAUGGAAAGUAAAUCAACAAAGGAAGAGAGCUAAGGACAGAGAAAAAAGAGAAAUAGAAAAUUAUCUUUCAAUGAGUAGUCCUCCCGAAUCUCCUGAUAUCCAUACACAAAAGAAUCAGAAUAGGGAUGUGCCAAAUGCAAGGAAUGAAAGAGUUGGUAUGGCGGAUUCAGUCCAAACCCCAAAGUAAUGAGAACGCAAACCUACCAUUAAAAGAAAAUUUAAGGAAAACAAAUCAUAAAAAAAGACACCAUAACUAGACAGAAAUUCAAAAAGCAGAAGCGUUACCUCAAUGUCUCCCUUUUCAGACUGUAUCACAGUUUCAAGGAGGAAUAUCCUCAGGUGAAAAUCUCAUACAGUAAAUUCUGUGAGAACCGUCCUUUCUGGAUCUUCAAACCCUCCAUUCAAGACAGGGAUACCUGUUUAUGCAAGACCCAUGCAAACAUCCAACUCAUGGCUGAUAAGUUGCUUUAUCUUAAACAGAAUUGAAAACGUAAUGCACUACCUAUGUUGUGAAAGUCCAACUAAAGCCUGCAUGUAUAGAGAGUGUGUCCGUUGCCAAGACAAAGAAGUACAAACUGCUGCAUUUCAACCUGGUGAGCAAACACAGUGGAUGGAAUGGUGAAAACAAAACUGAAAUCAAAGAGAAAAAGAAAGGUGGUGAUAAGGUGACAAUCACUGCUCACUUAACAGUAAAGGAGCAAAUCCAAGGAACCAUUCAACACUUGUUGGAAAAUUUCACAGCAGCACUAAAGAACAAGUCUGGGAUGCGACAGGAUGCCUCAGCCAUAUGGACACAUCUGAGCCCUGUAGUCUCUCACUUCAAAGUGCUCAUCCCUUCUCUGAACACACUGCACAUGAUAAGUGAUGGACCAACAACACAAUAUUGUUCAAAGAAGAACUACUUCUGUCUCAGCUCUGUUCCAUUUCAGCUAGGAUUUAAAAAGGUCACAUGGAAUUUCCUAGAGGCAGGCCAUGGAAAGGCGCAUCCUUAAAACAGAGGGCAGAUGUUCUUUUUGCUGGUGGAACAGACAUUCCAGAUGGGAGAAUGUUCUUUGAGAAUCUGAUAGAAUAAAAGUCAAUAUCAAGCUCUUCUACAUCACAGAAAGUGAGAUAGAAGAAUAUGACCGAUCUAUACCAGACCAGCUUGAAACUGGUGAAAAUCCACCAGAUUUUUUACCACCAAGUCCGGCCACAUCACCUGGCAAAUCCUAAGCUGUUUCUGCUCAGCUCCUGAACAUUGCCUCUGCUUUGCCCCUGAGUCUGUGGUCCUCAACAAAGCACAGAAAACCACUAUGAAGACAGAGCCAUGCCAAGGGAAGCUCAAUACAACGCCUGAAAUAACCAUGUCUUUGGUGGGAGAAUGGUGUGUGGUCUGUUAUGAUGGGGAGGCCUACCCAGGUGUUGUUCAGGAUGUCGAUGAAGAGUCUAUCCAGGUGAAAACAAUGUCUAUCCUUGGAGUUAACUGUUUUUUUGGUUUGUUUUUUUGCCUCUAAAACAAGACAUCCUGUGGUACAGGCAUGAAGAUUUCAUGGGGCUCGUGCCAGAGCCAAAAACAGUCACCAAGAGGCAUAUGAUGCUUGAUGUCUCUGUCUGAAAUAAAGUAUCAUCCAAGAUGGAUGAGAGGAUGAAUGUUUGAUGAGUUUUUGUCUGUUUUGUGGAAGAUUUGGUAUCAAUGACAUGUUUGUGGUGUUU